GCCCUCUUAGCUCAGUGGUAGAGCGCAUCACUCGUAUAUGCCUGUGAUUAGAGAUAAUGAUGAGGUCGGUUGUUCAAUCCAGCCAGGGGGCA